rnacentral:lncRNA from 1 species
GUGUGUGCGUUUCUGGGCAUUGCCAGGCUCUACGAUGCCAACAUUCUGGCCAGUCCACACUCAGUUUCCCAUCCGGAAGUUGCACUGGGGGCAUCAGGCUGGGGAAGGGGGUAAAUAUGACAACUUUCUUGAAUACACCAAAUGCGAAUUUUGUGGGGAGGUAGAGAGACAGAGAAUUCCAGGGACACUAUUGAAGCAGAAAGAAAACCUCUACAAACGCUCAUGCUCCCACGUGCCCAUUGGUGUGGGGCCAUAAGCUUAAGAAAAUGGAUGUGGUGCGUCACAAUCACCCCGACGAUCGCAGAUCUCGCUGGCAAAGGAUUUAUAGGAACAUCUUCCAAAAGCCUCAUUAAUUCAAGACAGGGAAGUGCAAGAAAAGUCAACCAAAGUCGGUGCCAUCCGAAGGAAGGUCACAGCGUGAAAGACAACAUUCUCACAAUCAUGGUCGUUCAUCCAGCAGACGUUUUGAAAAUAUUUUUGAACAGUGUACCAGGCAGGCAUCGUUCAGGGUGCUAGAUACAGAACCAGCAGAAGUCCCAGCUGGCGGAGUGCGGCAGGCUGACAAAGAAGGAGCUCACUGUUGGAUGGUGGUACCCAGGUAGAGAAAAGACGGCCCAGGAGGAACAGAGGGGACGAUCCCCAAAAGAAGGAAAGGAACAUUUAUCCACCACUUGUGAAAAACUGGGUCUUCUACACAGCUCACUUCUCCGAAUCCUCAGCACUCUCUUGUUGUGCCCUCUUUCUUACCAUAAUAGCCAAUUUUACACGUGAAGAAACUGAAGUUCCCAAACUUUAAGAGAUUGGCUGUGGCUGGGGUGUUAAUUAAUAGGUGGACAGUGCUGAACUUCUUGACUGGUUGUAGGAACGAAGCCCGGGGCAGAUUUGUAAAGGAGACUGCCCACAUGCCCUUUGUAACGCUCACACACCCUCCUCCUGCAGGACUUGCCAUGCUGCGUGGAAUGUUCCAGACCUCACCUUUCCCCAGUAAUGUUGACCCUUCUUCUCAUUCUCUGGAGCACUCCUCACACUCUAUGCCAAUUCCAUGCAUGGAUUCUCUCUCUAGAGUGCAAGGGGUUUGUGAAUGUUAAUCUCUGCUAAUCCUGUAAAUUGAUUUUCUCCAUUUUAUAGUCCAAUUAGUCACAUCGUCAUUACCCAGGCAAGAUAUUUGAGUGGGGCCUUUUUCUGGAAACAGUCCCUAAUCCUAACGGUGGAAAUGUCAGGCACUGUGGUUGGGCAGUAUGAACAUGCCUGCUGAAAUUACGUCAUUUAGGGAUUAGAGUCAUAGUUAAAAUACCAGUUUCUUACUCUCCAGUCUAACUAUCAGACUCUCAAAAAUGAUCUAAGAAAAAGGGUGUGUGUUUG